AAAACAUCUCUUCUUGUUAGUUUUUGAAGUAUGGCCUGCCCACUGACUUAUUUGUUGAAGGGCCGCGGUAUUUUGACCGUGCAAAGGUAGCAUAAUCAUUAGUUCUUUAAUUGUGAUCUGGUAUGAAUGGCUUGACGAGGUAUAAUCUGUCUUAAUUGUAUUGUUGAUUGAAUUUAGUUUUUGAGUUAAAAUUCUUAGAUGUUUUUAUGGGACGAGAAGACCCUAUAGAGUUUUACAUUUAUUUCUUCAUUACUUUUAUUUGUUUGUUUUUAUUGUAAAGUAGUUUGAAUGUUUUGUUGGGGUGAUGGGAGGAAUUUUUUUAACUCCUCUUUGUUUUUAUAUACUUAUUUGUGUUUUUUUUGAUCCAUUUGUUUUGAUUAUAAGAUUAAAUUACCUUAGGGAUAACAGCGUUAUCUUCCCUGAGAGUUCUUAUUGGCGGGAAGGUUUGCGACCUCGAUGUUGGAUUAAGAUUAAUUUUCGGUGCAGAAGCUGGAAUUGAUUAGGUCUGUUCGACCUUUAAAAUCUUACGUGAUCU
rnacentral:rRNA from 1 species